rnacentral:rRNA from 1 species
GAUGGACGCUGGCGGCGUGCCUAAUACAUGCAAGUCGAGCGAACGGACGAGAAGCUUGCUUCUCUGAUGUUAGCGGCGGACGGGUGAGUAACACGUGGAUAACCUACCUAUAAGACUGGGAUAACUUCGGGAAACCGGAGCUAAUACCGGAUAAUAUUUUGAACCGCAUGGUUCAAAAGUGAAAGACGGUCUUGCUGUCACUUAUAGAUGGAUCCGCGCUGCAUUAGCUAGUUGGUAAGGCAACGGCUUACCAAGGCAACGAUGCAUAGCCGACCUGAGAGGGUGAUCGGCCACACUGGAACUGAGACACGGUCCAGACUCCUACGGGAGGCAGCAGUAGGGAAUCUUCCGCAAUGGGCGAAAGCCUGACGGAGCAACGCCGCGUGAGUGAUGAAGGUCUUCGGAUCGUAAAACUCUGUUAUUAGGGAAGAACAUAUGUGUAAGUAACUGUGCACAUCUUGACGGUACCUAAUCAGAAAGCCACGGCUAACUACGUG